GCCGGCGUAGCUCAAUGGUAGAGCGGCGCACUCGUAAUGCGCAGGUUGUGGGUUCAAUUCCCACCGCCGGCUCCA
rnacentral:tRNA from 1 species